rnacentral:lncRNA from 1 species
AAACCAAUAUUGAAGCUCCAAAAAUGACUUAUUCUGAGUUGAGAAACACAAUAGGUAACUUUGAUUAUUUUUCAUUCUUUAUAAUUGUAAGUUAUGUAAGCAAUCACUAUAGAUCUUCUUCUAAGCUAUAAUAUCUACUCAUUUUAUUUUGUAGGUGAUAGCUAUCAUAAGUUCUUAAUUAUUUCACAGACACAUAUAUUUUAU